CUCUUCUUGUUUAUAUGGGAAGUAUAACCUGCCCACUGAAUUAUAUUUGAAGGGCCGCGGUAUUUUGACCGUGCAAAGGUAGCAUAAUAAUUAGUCUUUUAAUUGAGGACUAGAAUGAAUGGUUGGACGAAGAAUAUUCUGUUUCUUUUAAAUUUACUUGAAUUUAAAAUUUAAGUAAAAAUGCUUAAAUUUUUUUAUGGGACGAGAAGACCCUAUAGAGUUUAAUAAAUUUUAUUAUUAUAAUUGUUAAAUUAAUAUAUUUAUUGUAAAAUUUAUUUUGUUGGGGUGAUAGGAAGAAUUAAUAAACUCUUUUUUGCAUUUAUAUAUUUAUAUAUAAUUUUUGUUGAUCCAUUUUUAUUGAUUAUAAGACUAAAUUACC
rnacentral:rRNA from 1 species